CACGUAGGAGGCGAGCGUUGUCCGGAAUCAUUGGGCGUAAAGAGCGUGUAGGCGGUCCGGUAAGUCCGCUGUGAAAGUCGGGGGCUCAACCCUCGAAUGCCGGUGGAUACUGUCGGGCUAGAGUACGGAAGAGGCGAGUGGAAUUCCUGGUGUAGCGGUGAAAUGCGCAGAUAUCAGGAGGAACACCUAUUGCGAAGGCAGCUCGCUGGGACGUAACUGACGCUGAGACGCGAAAGCGUGGGGAGCAAACAGG
rnacentral:rRNA from 1 species